rnacentral:rRNA from 1 species
AAACCAGCACCUCAAGUGGUCAGGAUGAUUAUUGGGCCUAAAGCAUCCGUAGCCGGCUCUGUAAGUUUUCGGUUAAAUCUGUACGCUUAACGUACAGGCUGCCGGGAAUACUGCAGAGCUAGGGAGUGGGAGAGGUAGACGGUACUCGGGAGGAAGUGGUAAAAUGCUUUGAUCUCUCGAUGACCACCUGUGGCGAAGGCGGUCUACCAGAACACGUCCGACGGUGAGGGAUGAAAGCUGGGGGAGCAAACCGGAUUAGAUACCCCAGUAGUCC